GUAACAGCCCUGGAGAGUGAAGCCCUCUGUUUAUCCACAGAGCUGAUACAGCCUGGGCAGUGGCAGGGCAAGUUUAAUGCAUGGUGCCCUGACUGUGAUUUUUAGGGUGUGUGUCCACAGCAAAUGAAUGUGUGAUUGUAGUAUGGGUAUGCUUACUCACAGGAGUUUAAUCUAGCGAUCAC
rnacentral:sRNA from 1 species